ACACUUCACUCCAUUUGUACCGCGUGGAUAAGGAGACGUUUUUGGAAUGGCCAGAAGAGGGGUUAUUUGCGCUAUGUAUGGCUGCUUUAACUAUAAAAUACAAAGUGAUCGCAAGUCGUUUUACAGAUUCCCUAAAAACAAACAAGUAUGCACUCAGUGGAUUGUUAAAAGCAGAAGGUCCGACUUAGACAAUAUUUUAAGAACAAAAGGGCCAGAAUAUUUAAAUAGAAACUACGUCAUGUGUUCUGACCAUUUUACGAAAAAAGAUGGGGAAUUUUCACAUAGGGAAAUG
rnacentral:misc_RNA from 1 species